GACGAACGCUGGCGGCGUGCUUAACACAUGCAAGUCGAGCGGUAAGGCCCUUUCGGGGGUACACGAGCGGCGAACGGGUGAGUAACACGUGGGUGACCUGCCUUUAGCUCUGGGAUAAGCCUGGGAAACUGGGUCUAAUACCGGAUACGACUCCGCGGUGCAUGCUGUGGGGUGGAAAGCCUUGUGCGGCUGGAGAUGGGCCCGCGGCCUAUCAGCUUGUUGGUGGGGUGAUGGCCUACCAAGGCGACGACGGGUAGCCGGCCUGAGAGGGCGACCGGCCACACUGGGACUGAGAUACGGCCCAGACUCCUACGGGAGGCAGCAGUGGGGAAUCUUGCGCAAUGGGCGAAAGCCUGACGCAGCGACGCCGCGUGAGGGAUGACGGCCUCGG
rnacentral:rRNA from 1 species